UACAGAGGGGGCUAGCGUUGUUCGGAAUUACUGGGCGUAAAGCGCACGUAGGCGGCUUUGUAAGUUAGAGGUGAAAGCCCGGGGCUCAACUCCGGAAUUGCCUUUAAGACUGCAUCGCUAGAAUUGUGGAGAGGUAAGUGGAAUUCCGAGUGUAGAGGUGAAAUUCGUAGAUAUUCGGAAGAACACCAGUGGCGAAGGCGACUUACUGGACGACUGUUGACACUGAGGUGCGAAAGCGUGGGGAGCAAACAGG
rnacentral:rRNA from 1 species